rnacentral:rRNA from 1 species
AUGGGCGUCGUGGUGAGGAAAUGCUCGACGGUGGUCGUGAGGCCACCACCGGAGCCGGUGACGGCCACCGUCAACAUCAACCUCUCGCCUUUGGACAAGAACGUCAUGUCCGUGCCAGCGGCGGUGUUCAUGGUGUUCGACGGUCGGAUCCCCGAACCUGCCGCGACCAUAGAGAGGGCUCUGUCCCAAGCUCUAGCCCACUACUCCCCAGUCUCAGGCCGCCUCGCUGCCGGAGCCGAGCAGGGCGAGUUCCACAUCAGGUGCACCGGCGAGGGCGUCCCGUUCGUGGCCGCGGCCGCGGACUGCGCUCUCAAGGACGCCGAGUUCUUCGGCCGGUCGGUGGCCGGCGCGCUGCUGGAGGAGCUGGCCAUCUACUACCCGGCCGAGCACUGCGGUUUCGGUGACCCUCUGCUCAUGAUGCAGGUCACCGAGUUCUCCUGCGGCGGCUUCGUCGUCGGGGUAACGUGGAACCACGUCGUCGCCGACGCGGCCGGGAUCGGCCAGUUCCUGCAGGCCGUCGGCGAGCUCGCGCGCGGGCUGCCGUCGCCGUCCGUGGCCCCGGUGAGGUGGGACGACGCGCUGACGGCGGUGCCUCCGCCCGCCGACGGCUUCGUGGAGCUGAUGAUGACGCUCCAGCCGGCCGACAUGGCCGCGCUCGACGUCACCGUGCCAUGGGGCCUAAUCGACCGCAUCAAGGAGAGCUCCAACGCCAGCGGAUCAUCAAGGUCAAGGCCGCCGUGCACGACGUUCGAGGCGGUGACCGCGCUGCUGUGGCAGUGCCGCACCGGCGCGGUGGGGCUGUCGUCCAGCCCGGAGGAGCCCGUGGCGCUCUACUUCGCGGUGAACGCGCGGAGGUACGUCGGGUCCCGGCGCGGGUACUACGGCAACUGCGUGACCGGGCGGGUGGUGGUGGCGACGGCCGGCGCGGUGGCCGGCGGCGACCUCGCGGACCUGGUGGGGAUGAUCCAGCGCGCCAAGAGCCAGAUACCGGAGCAGUUCGACGACGGCGGCGAGAAGGGCGCAGGUGUGGACCGCCGCGGCGUGGCUGGCCUGGCCGUGGACGGGUACAACGUGCUCAUCGUCACGAGCUGGCGGAACCUCGGGCUGGACAGGGCCGACUUCGGCGGAGGGCCGCCGGCGCGGGUGACCACCUACGGCCGGGGCAGGGCGAGGGCGCCCAACUGCGUGCCGUGCCCGGGGAGCGGCGCCCUCGGGUCCAGCGUCAUGGCCGCCUGCGUCAGGGAGGAGCACGCCGCCGCCUUCCUCGGAGAGCUAGCCUCGAGGUCCAAAUGA